rnacentral:hammerhead_ribozyme from 1 species
AUUCAGCUCACGCGUCCCAAAUAGGACGAAACACAUAUCCUGGAU